GAUGAACGCUGGCGGCGUGCCUAAUACAUGCAAGUCGAGCGAACAGAUGAGGAGCUUGCUCCUCUGACGUUAGCGGCGGACGGGUGAGUAACACGUGGAUAACCUACCUAUAAGACUGGGAUAACUUCGGGAAACCGGAGCUAAUACCGGAUAAUAUAUUGAACCGCAUGGUUCAAUAGUGAAAGACGGUUUUGCUGUCACUUAUAGAUGGAUCCGCGCCGCAUUAGCUAGUUGGUAAGGUAACGGCUUACCAAGGCAACGAUGCGUAGCCGACCUGAGAGGGUGAUCGGCCACACUGGAACUGAGACACGGUCCAGACUCCUACGGGAGGCAGCAGUAGGGAAUCUUCGGCAAUGGGCGAAAGCUUGACGGAGCAACGCCGCGUGAGUGAUGAAGGUCUUCGGAUCGUAAAACUCUGUUAUUAGGGAAGAACAAAUGUGUAAGUAACUAUGCACGUCUUGACGGUACCUAAUCAGAAAGCCACGGCUAACUACGUG
rnacentral:rRNA from 1 species